UACGGGGGGGGCAAGCGUUGUUCGGAAUUACUGGGCGUAAAGGGCUCGUAGGCGGCCAACUAAGUCAAACGUGAAAUCCCUCAGCUUAACUGGGGAACUGCGUCUGAUACUGGAUGGCUUGGAUUCGGGAGAGGAAUGCGGAAUUCCAGGUGUAGCGGUGAAAUGCGUAGAUAUCUGGAGGAACACCGGUGGCGAAGGCGGCAUUCUGGACCGAUAUUGACGCUGAGGAGCGAAAGCCAGGGGAGCAAACGGG
rnacentral:rRNA from 1 species